GCCCGUGUAGCUUAAUGGAAAAGCGUCUCCGUCCUAAGGAGAAGAUGUGGGUUCGAUUCCCUCCACGGGUA
rnacentral:tRNA from 1 species